UCUUAAAUAUCAGCAGAUAUUUCUUUGACCAUCUGCACUAAUAAUUUCUCUACACGUGCUGGCAACAUUCGGUCAAGACCCAGUAGCUUUCAUUUGAAUUAGCAUACCUGCCAUGGACUGUUUUUUUUUUUUCAUUUUCAUUUAAUUUAAUUAUUGCUUAACUUAAAAAUGGUAAAAUUGAAAUUUACUCGUUUCAACCCAUGGCAUAUGGUAAUAGCGGUGGGAGGGGUGAAAAGUUUCUUUCAUUCUGGGUUAUCUAUUGCCAGAGUGUGGCUGUGGUAUGGCAUGGCAUGGUUGCUUAUGACAUAAAUGUGUCCCAAAGGAUGGAUAGACCGAUGGGCUGCUGGCAGGAGAGUGUAUUUGCUGGGAGGUGGUUGAGUGGUUGGUUGGUUGGCUGGCUGGCUUGGCAGCCAACUUACAAAAUGGGAUGCGAUUGUUAUUCGACUAACUGAAUAAAUACAUGCAAAUAAUAAUAUUAA